GGAAGUUGCCUCAUGCGGAACCUCUGCAGGCCAUGAAGGCCAAAACUAUUACAGCUUCAACUCUUCUGGGAAGGCUGUCCACAAGGUUGCGGAGUGUGUCUAUACAGUAGGAAUUUUCGACCAUUCUUCCAAAAGCGCAUUGGUCUUCUAUCGGGUUCAGGUCAGGACUCUGUGCAAGCCAGUCAAGUUCAUCCACACCAGACUCUGUCAUCCAUGUCUUUAUGGAAUUGUCCAAAAUGUGUUGGUAUCCUGGAGCAUUCAAAGUUCCUUUCACUGGAACUAAGGGGCCGAGCCCAACACCUGAAAAACAACCCCACACCAUAAUUCCUCCUCCACCAAAUG